rnacentral:rRNA from 1 species
UACGGAGGAUGCAAGCGUUAUCCGGAAUGAUUGGGCGUAAAGCGUCCGCAGGUGGCAAUGUAAGUCUGCUGUCAAAGCGUCUGGCUCAACCAGAUAAAGGCAGUGGAAACUACAUAGCUAGAGUAAGGUAGGGGUAGAGGGAAUUCCUGGUGUAGCGGUGAAAUGCGUAGAGAUCAGGAAGAACACCGGUGGCGAAAGCGCUCUGCUGGACCAACACUGACACUGAUGAGCGAAAGCCAGGGGAGCAAACGGG